UUACAGCCACAUCACGUUGAAAGCCCGGUUUCCGUACGAUCACCGAAGUUAAGCAACGUCGAAACUGGUCAGUACCUAGAUGGGUGUCCGCUUAGGAAUACCAGGUGCUGUAAG
rnacentral:rRNA from 1 species